UUAUUUUUUAUCUUUUCUAAGCUUUAUACUUGUUUCAGAAUAUUCUCUACUUUUUUUUCUAUUCUUUCUUCCCCCCAUAGUGCCCAGGUUCUCCAAAGUCCUUGUGGUCUUCCCCUGCUUCUUUUCUGGGUUCCAUAUUCCUCUGCAAUUCAUGGCCACUGUUUAAAGUUUGUUUUUUUAUGCCUUUAGUUGCCCCUAACCUCACGUGUUCUGCACCAUAUUUCUUCCUAUAUAUCCAUGUCACUUCAUUUCUACUGAAUCUACAAGGCAACUGGUCCAAACAUGGUUAAAGUUUGGUUCUUGGUGUUGAUUAUUCUCUCCAAUGGAUUCUAUUCAAAUGGGGCAGACAUGCAAAAUUCCACAGUACCUGAGGUUGUAAAUAUUGGGGCUCUCUUCUCUUUCAAUGGCUCUUUUGGUAGAAGUGUAAAAUUUGCUCUAAAGGCUGCAGUUGAUGAUGUAAAUUCUGAUCCAUCAAUUCUUGGUAAAACAAAGCUGAAUCUCAUACUGCAAGAGGAUACAAAAUACAGAGGUUUUCUUAGCAUUUCUGAGGUUUUGCAGGUUGCGACGAGACAUACUGUGGCUAUAAUUGGUCCCCAGUCAUCUGUAACAGCUCAUGUCAUAGCUCAUAUUGCAAAUGAGCUCCAAGUUCCUCUGCUAUCGUUUUCGGCUUUAGACCCUACCCUUCAUUCACUUCAGUUUCCAUUCUUUAUUAGAACAGGUCAUAGUGAUCUUUAUGUGAUGACUGCAAUAGCAGACUUUGUUGAUCACUUUGGGUGGAAAGAUGUUAUUGCUUUCUAUGUGGAUGAUGAUAAUGGGAGGAAUGGAAUCGGAGCUCUAGGCGACAAGCUCGCCGAUAGGCGCUGCAGGAUCUCGUUUAAGGCAGCUGUGAGUCCUGAUGCAACUGAUGAGGAGAUUACUGAUGUGCUUGUUCAGGUGGCUUUGGCAGAGUCAAGAGUUAUAGUUCUUCACCUCAACACUCUUUGGAAACUCAAGGUUUUCAAUCUUGCAAAGAAUCUUGGGAUGAUGGAAACUGGUUAUGUCUGGAUAGGUACUACUUUUCUUUCUGCUGUGCUUGAUAUGGAAAGUCCAUUGUCUUCAGAUAAAAUGGAUGAUAUUCAAGGAGUUAUUACAUUUCGUGUUUACACACCGGAUUCUGAACUCAAAAGAAGGUUUGUUUCUAAGUGGAAGAAUUUGACUCAAGCUGAUAGUGCUAAUGGAGGCCCUCUUGGUUUUACUCCUUUAAUUCUAUAUGCUUAUGAUACUGUUUAUGCUCUUGCACAUGCACUUGAUUCGUUUUUCAAACAAGGGAACAGAAUCACUUUCUCAAAUGAUUCAAAGUUAUCAGUGUUACGCGGUGACAACUUGCAUCUUGAUGCCUUGAACAUCUUCAAUGAAGGACCUUCCUUGCGUCAAAGCAUUUAUGGGGUUAACAUGACCGGUGUGACAGGUCCAUUCAGCUAUACAUCUGAUGAAAAUCUUGCCAAUCCUGCAUUUGAGAUCAUCAAUGUAAUUGGAACAGGCUCUAGGAAGAUUGGUUAUUGGUCUAACUACUCUGGAUUAUCAGUUCUUCCUCCAGAUACUCUUUAUUCCAAGCCUGUUAAUAAUUCCAGGGAAAGUAAAACUUUACUUCCUGUGAUUUGGCCUGGAGACACUGAUCAAAAGCCCCGUGGUUGGGUUUUUCCCAACAGUGGAAGGCUAUUAAAGAUUGGAGUACCAAGAAGGGUUAAUUACCAUGAAUUUGUGUCACCGGUAAAAGGCACUGAUAUGUUUCAGGGAUUCUGCAUUGAUGUGUUUCUUGCUGCAGUGGAUUUGUUGCCUUAUGCUGUUCCCUAUAAGUUUGUCCCCUUUGGCGACGGUCGCAUCAAUCCUAGCGCCACAGACCUUGUCCGUCGGAUCACAACCGGUGAAUUUGAUGGUGCUGUUGGUGACAUUGCCAUUACUACAGAAAGAACAAGGAUGGUGGAUUUUACACAGCCUUAUAUUGAGUCUGGUCUAGUUGUAGUUGCACCAGUUAGGAAGGCAGAAUCCAAUGCUUGGGCGUUUUUGUCGCCGUUUACGCCAAUGAUGUGGGCUGUCACAGCUAUGUUUUUCUUGUUUGUGGGAGCUGUUGUUUGGAUAUUGGAGCAUAGAGUUAAUGAUGACUUUAGGGGACCUCCCAAGAAACAAGUAGUUACUAUCUUAUGGUUCAGUUUUUCAACUAUGUUCUACUCACACAGGGAAAAUACAGUUAGCACGCUCGGUCGCUUGGUGCUGAUUAUAUGGUUAUUUGUAGUUCUUAUAGUUAACUCGAGUUACACAGCGAGUCUAACCUCAAUCCUCACAGUGCAACAACUUUAUUCACCCAUCAAAGGCAUUGAAAGUUUGGUAAAUAGCAAGGAUCCUAUUGGUUACACUCAAGGUUCUUUCGCGAAAAAUUAUUUGAUUCAGGAAAUUGGCAUUGCUGAAGCGAGGCUGGUUCCUUUGAACACGCCGGAUGAAGCUGCUAAUGCUCUUAAAAAGGGUCCCCAUGGUGGUGGUGUCUCUGCAUACAUUGAUGAACGUUCCUACAUAGAGCUCUUCCUUUCAAGCCGGUGUGAUUUCACUGUUAUUGGUCAAGAGUUCACUAGAGAUGGUUGGGGAUUUGCCUUUCCGCGAGACUCGCCUUUAGCAGUAGACCUGUCAACAGCAAUUCUGGAAAUGGCAGAGAAUGGAGACCUACAAAGGAUCCAUGACAAGUGGCUUCUGCGCAGCGCCUGCUUGUCGCAAGGCACGAAGCUGGAAGUGGAAAGACUAAAUCUUCAAAGCUUCUGGGGCCUCUAUCUGCUAUGUGGCUUUGCCUGCUUCAUUGCUCUCUUGAUAUAUCUCAUACAAGUGACUAGGCAGUACUUCAAGCAUGGCUCUGAUGAACUUGACCCUUCAGAGCAGGGCUCAUCUUCAGGAUCUGCGCGCCUUCGGAGCUUCCUUUCAUUUGUGGAUGAAAAGGAGGAGACAGUUAAGAGCCGCUCCAAGAGAAGGCAAAUGGAGAAGAUCUCAUACAGAAGCAGCAUUGGAUCAUCCAUGAGCUCAAACAAAGACUAUGCUCAAUCUUCUCCAUACAAAAAUUAUUGUGCUAAUGAUGCUCCAGCUUCUCCACACACAACUGAUUGUGCUAAUGAAGCAUGAUUUUGUAGCCUCUGAUCCCAACUUCCUCUGCACCACCACCAUCAUUAUCACCUUUGCUUUGAAAUAGUGGUAUAUAUUUUCUCUUAUUCAUUACACAUGAUAUCAAAGUUGAGAAAACCAAACCGGAUAUUGAACCGGUUAAAUUGAUGGUGAAAACUCAGGUGAAGUCAACUUUACGUGACGUGAAGUUGAUAUCUGAGAGACGUUGGAUGAAAAUUUAGUCAAAUCAGUCAAAU